AGAAGAGAGAAAGAGAACAAAAAGAAGUAACAAAAGGCGGAGUUUCGCGUAUUAUGGCAUUGGUUUUGAUUUUGGCAUUGGUUUUGAUUUUUUAUAUUUUUU
rnacentral:ribozyme from 14 species